rnacentral:rRNA from 1 species
AUACGGAGGGUGCAAGCGUUAUCCGGAAUCAUUGGGUUUAAAGGGUCCGGAGGCGGACUAUUAAGUCAGAGGUGAAAUCCCACAGCUCAACUGUGGAACUGCCUUUGAUACUGGUAGUCUUGAGUUAUAUGGAAGUAGAUAGAAUGUGUAGUGUAGCGGUGAAAUGCAUAGAUAUUACACAGAAUACCGAUUGCGAAGGCAGUCUACUACGUAUAUACUGACGCUAAGGGACGAAAGCGUGGGGAGCGAACAGGAUUAGAAACCCUAGUAGUCC